rnacentral:pre_miRNA from 7 species
CUUUGAGGUUCCUGGGUGUCACGCAGAUCUCAGUGGGACCUCCAAAUGAAAGAACCUAGUGGGGAAACCCCCACUCUUAUUCCGAGUCGGUGUGCACCCAAAGAAUCAUGAGAGACU